rnacentral:rRNA from 1 species
AAAGCUUUAUGCACCAUUGGAUGAGCCUGCACUUGAUUAGUUUGUUGGUGGGGUAAUGGCCUACCAAGACUUUGAUCAAUAGCUGAUUUGAGAGGAUGAUCAGCCACAUUGGGACUGAG